AGGAUGGGACUGCGGCCGAUUAGGUAGUUGGAGAGGUAACGGCUCACCAAGCCGAAGAUCGGUAGGGGCUAUGGGAGUAGGAGCCCCGAGACGGGAACUGAGACAAGGUCCCGAGCCCUACGGGGUGCAGCAGUCGCGAAAUUUCCGCAAUGCGCGAAAGCGUGACGGGGGGAAUCUGAGUGCUUCCCGAAAGGGGGGCUUUUUGUCGGAUUGAAUCUCCGGCAGAAUAAGGACUGGGCAAGAUCAGUGCCAGCCGCCGCGGUAAUACUGACAGUUCGAGUGGUACCCACGAAUAUUGAGCUUAAAGCGUCCGUAGCCGGCGCAGCAAGUCUUCUGCGAAAUCUUUCGGCUCAACCGACAGGCUUGCAGAAGAUACUACUUUGCUAGGGAGUGGAGGAGGUCAGGGGUACUUUAAGGGGAAGGGUAAAAUCUAGUAAUCCUUAAAGGACCAACUGUGGCGAAGGCGCCUGACCAAGACACAUCCGACGGUGAGGGACGAAGGCUAGGGGAGCAAACAGGAUUAGAUACCCUGGUAGUCCUAGCAGUAAAUGAUGCAGACUUGGCGUUGCAGUUGCUUCGAGCGACUGCAGUGCUGUAGGAAAACCGUUUAGUCUGCCGCUUGGGGAGUACGGUCGCAAGACUGAAACUUAAAGGAAUUGGCGGGGAGCACACAAGGGUGGAUGCUGCGGUUCAAUUGGAUUCAACGCCG
rnacentral:rRNA from 1 species